rnacentral:rRNA from 1 species
GACGAACGCUGGCGGCGUGCUUAACACAUGCAAGUCGAACGAGUAGCGAACGGGUGAGUAAUACGUGGGAACCUGCCCUCCUUUUUGGGAUAAGCAUUGGAAACUGGGUCUAAUACCGAAUAUAGGGGGAUGGGCUCGCGGCCUCUCAGCGUGUUGGGGGGGUAACGGCUUACCUAGGCGACGAUCCCGAGCUGGUCUGAGAGGAGGAUCAGCCACACUGGGACUGAGACACGGCCCAGACUCCUACGGGAGGCAGCAGUGGGUAAUAUUGCACAAUGGGCGCAAGCCUGAUGCAGCCAUGCCGCGUGUAUGAAGAAGGCCUUCGGGUUGUAAAGUACUUUCAGUCGGGAGGCGUUACCGACAGAAGAAGCACCGGCUAACUCCGUGCCAGCAGCCGCGGUAAUUC